UACUCCAUCUGAAUGAAAGCCUCUGCGACCCCGGCCAUUAUUCCAGUCCAAAAGGCUUUGCUUCUUGCAAACUCAUUGCGAAGGUAUGGCGCAUCAGACUCGUGAUUUCUAACUCCAUGAAUGCAGCUGGGCAGAAGUUGCAAGGCAAAAGCGAGAGGCCGGCAGCAUGAUGCAAAGGUGACCGGUGAUGAUGCUGCUUUGCUGAGGUCGAUUGCUGUUGAAGUGGUUGGUGUGCCCAGGCGUGCGGCUUUUGCUUGUUGCGGAGACAAGGAUACCGAGCAGAAAAAAGGAGGGGUGUACCAUGAAAGAUCACUUUGUUUCAGGACCUUAUCUAAAGCUUAGCAAAUAUCUUAAUCUAAAAUAUGCUUGAUGUGUAUGUGUUCAGUAUUCAGUGUUCUAAAUAAAGUUUGACGUUUAAGUGUC